CAUCAAAGGAGUCCCAGAAGAAGAAGAGAAGAGAAAAGGAGCAGAAGGUUUAUUUGAGGAAAUCGUAGCUGAAACUUCCCUAAUCUGCAGAAGGGAACAGACAUCCAUAUCAAGG